rnacentral:misc_RNA from 1 species
AAUCCAUUUUCCAUUCUUUUUCUUUUUCUUCUCCAACUGGGAAGAUGUUCGAGAUUGAUGCGUGUCGCACGAGGGAACAACGUAUGGCUUGUCUUCGUGCUUCACCAACUGGGGCUUUGGACGGUGUGCUUCUUCAUGGUUCUUAUCCAGUGUGAUCCUUCAAAAGGCCGUGCUCACAGAAGAAGAGGAUAGUCAGACCCAUAAAACCAAAGACUUAAGUUUUUUCCUUUGUGAGUCUGUGUAUGUUUUGUCCUUCAUGGUCAAGAUUCAUAUUAUUAUGGAUUUCAUGGUCUGAUUGUUCCUGUUUGAUUUGAAAUUGGGAGAAAUUUUUUU